rnacentral:lncRNA from 10 species
GCCGGGUCGGGUCCUGGGGCCGGCGCCGCGGCCUCUUUCCCCUUUAAAUAGGGGAAUAAGUGAGGCCCCACCCUUCGGAGCGUCACGCCUUGAUCGGGCCGCUCCCUGUGGCGGCACGUGUGGGGGCGGUGGAGGCUUGAGGCCGGGAAUGACAGCAAUGAUGGAGUCGGGGAGGCGGCCCAGGCCAUGCCAGGACCGGAGCCCUGGGGGCCAAAGCACCCAUUCCUCCCUACUCCCGGGGGAGCGGGGUGGGGCUUUCCUUCUUCCCCCAACGCAACGCCAGCGCUCCUUAAUUCUACCAUGUACAAAGCCCCGGGUCUCUCUCUGCGCCUGAGCCCUCAGUCACUGGCACAAGUCUCUAAAGCCCCCUCCGCCUAUUCAGUUGCUCGCAGUUAGUUUCACAAUCCCACCCAGUUUCCAAACACGGCCCGUUCUGCCCAACCUUUAGUGGUCCCUGGGCCUUUGAAUCGAUUUUGCCCUCAAUUCUCAUUAUAGAUGACCUCUCUGUGUUGUUUGUAAGGCUGGCUUCCUAAACUUCAUUCUCCCCAAACUGCUUAACUCUCAGCUGGUAUCUCAGCCUAAGGAGGGACCUAGAUGCCAGGACCAUGGCUUUAGGAAUGCUGGGAAUCCUUUCCUUCCGGAGGCCUGGACACCCACACAUCGUGAUGGCCCCAGCAAAGCUCCCCAGCAUAAGUUCUGACUCAGGGGUCUGACUUCUCCCACUGGUAAACAGGACAUGGUACUCACAACCCACAUUCCCCUCAUGGUGCCACACCCACACACAGCUGCCUCCUCACCCUCCUCUCCUGGACCUGCAGCCCAGGUUCUGUUAUGGAGGGUGAUAACACAGUCUAGAGCCAGCUGGCUUGAGUUCAGAUCCUAGCUUCCACCUCUUACUAGUUGUGACACUUUGAGCAAGUUACUUAAUUUCUCUGGGCCUUGGUUUCCUAGUUUUAAAAAUGUGGAUAAUAAUAAUGAGGACUGAAUGAACUUAUAUGUGUAAGGUGCUUCAAAUGGUGUCCAGUACACAGUAAAACACCAGGUAAGUACUAUAUUAGCUACUAUUGUUAUCCUGUGCCCCCAGCCUAUACUGAAUUCACAUUAACUUCUGAGUACCCAACAUUUUCAACACCCAUCCAUCUUGA